AGUGAACGCUGGCGGCGUGCCUAAUACAUGCAAGUCGAACGGAGAUUAGGUAGCUUGCUAUUUAAUCUUAGUGGCGCACGGGUGAGUAAUAUAUAGCUAACUUGCCCAUUACUAAGGGACAACAGUUGGAAACGACUGCUAAUACCUUAUACUCCGUAUAUAUAUAAGUAGAUACGGGAAAGUUUUUCGGUAAUGGAUAGGGCUAUAUCGUAUCAGCUAGUUGGUAAGGUAAUGGCUUACCAAGGCUAUGACGCGUAACUGGUCUGAGAGGAUGAUCAGUCACACUGGAACUGAGACACGGUCCAGACUCCUACGGGAGGCAGCAGUAGGGAAUAUUGCUCAAUGGGGGAAACCCUGAAGCAGCAACGCCGCGUGGAGGAUGACACUUUUCGGAGCGUAAACUCCUUUUCUUGGGAAAGAAUUAUGACGGUACCCAAGGAAUAAGCACCGGCUAACUCCGUGCCAGCAGCCGCGGUAAUACGGAGGGUGCAAGCGUUACUCGGAAUCACUGGGCGUAAAGGACGCGUAGGCAGAUUAUCAAGUCUCUUGUGAAAUCUAACGGCUUAACCGUUAAACUGCUUGGGAAACUGAUAAUCUAGAGUAAGGGAGAGGCAGAUGGAAUUCUUGGUGUAGGGGUAAAAUCCGUAGAGAUCAAGAAGAAUACCCAUUGCGAAAGCGAUCUGCUGGAACUUAACUGACGCUAAUGCGUGAAAGCGUGGGGAGCAAACAGG
rnacentral:rRNA from 1 species